GGAAAAUUUCUUCUGUUCUGCUUCUACCCAGAAUUGGAAUCUACUGAAUCUACCCAGAGAAACUUGGUAGGAGAAGAAUCCUCACAAUCACUAAUUACCUCGAGAACACUCCUUCAAACUCUGAAUUUAUUAAGUCAAAUUAGAAGCUUCAGUUUUAUUCUGGGAUUUUCAACAAGUUUCUGUCAUACAGGUAAGAUAAAUAUGAAAUAAUUUAUAUGGUUUUAUGU
rnacentral:lncRNA from 1 species